AUACGUAGGGAGCGAGCGUUACCCGGAAUUACUGGGCGUAAAGUGCGCGUAGGCGGCUUGGUAAGUCCCUUUUGAAAGCUCCCGGCUUAACUGGGAGAGGUGAGGGGAAACUACUUGGCUUGAGGACAGCAGAGGAAAGCGGAAUUCCCGGUGUAGCGGUGAAAUGCGUAGAUGUCGGGAGGAACACCAGUGGCGAAGGCGGCUUUCUGGGCUGCACCUGACGCUGAGGCGCGAGAGCGUGGGGAGCAAACAGGAUUAGAAACCCCGGUAGUCC
rnacentral:rRNA from 1 species